CCUUUGACGUUAGCGGCGGACGGGUGAGUAACACGUGGGUAACCUACCUAUAAGACUGGGAUAACUUCGGGAAACCGGAGCUAAUACCGGAUAAUAUUUCGAACCGCAUGGUUCGAUAGUGAAAGAUGGUUUUACUAUCACUUAUAGAUGGACCCGCGCCGUAUUAGCUAGUUGGUAAGGUAACGGCUUACCAAGGCGACGAUACGUAGCCGACCUGAGAGGGUGAUCGGCCACACUGGAACUGAGACACGGUCCAGACUCCUACGGGAGGCAGCAGGG
rnacentral:rRNA from 1 species